UGGUAGUGUAUUGGACAACCACGGCUAUCACGGGUAACGGAGAAUUAGGGUUCGGUUCCGGAGAGGGAGCCUGGGAAACGGCUACCACAUCUAAGGAUAGCAGCAGGCGCGAAAAUUGCCCAAUCCCGAUUCGGGGAGGCAGUGACAAGAAAUAACAACCCAGGGAUUAUCCCAGGGAUUGUAAUGAGAAAAAUGUAAAAAUCUUAUCGAGUAUCAACUGGAGGGCAAGUUUUGGUGCCAGCAGCCGCGGUAAUUCCAACUCCAGUAGCGUAUAUUAAAGUUGCUGCAGUUAAAAAGCUCGUAGUUGAAAUUCUGCUCCGGCAGUUCAAUUUCCAAUAGGUUAUUGACACUCCGGGCAUCAGUCUGCAAUCUUUUUCACGGCAUUCAUUUGUCGGGCUAGGGAGCAGACGCUUUACCUUGAGAAAAUUAGAGUGUUCCAGGCAGGCUUCAGCCCGAAUACAUUAGCAUGGAAUAAUAGAAUAGGACUAGAGACUAUUUAUUGGUUUAAGGCUCUAGUAAUGAUUAAUAGGAACAGUCGGGGGCAUUAGUACUUAACAGUCAGAGGUGAAAUUCUAGGAUUUGUUAAAGACUAACUAAUGCGAAAGCAUUUGCCAAGCAUGUUUUCAUUAAUCAAGAACGAAAGUUAGGGGAUCAAAGACGAUCAGA
rnacentral:rRNA from 1 species